CUCAUGUUUCCCCUGCUCUGAAUAUAAACCCCUGCCCAAUUCUGAGAAGUACCACCUGCCUGCACAAGAGUGUGUUUAUGGGGUAUUCAUGUUUGGAUCACUGUAGCUGGACAAUCUUUCUUGGCUUUUGAGCUGUUUUGCUCUAGGGGCUCCUGCUUGUGCCUCCUGAUUAGUGACCAGCUGUGACUCCACCACUUCCUUGCCAAGAAAUCUGCACUUGAAGCCCUCUGAGAAGAUAUGUCCUCAGCUCUCCCAGCACUGAGACAUGCAAUUGAAAGGAUACAACACCAACCCCAAAUCAGGAUUCUACAGGCUAAGGAUCUGUGCCCCUGACCUUUUUGGAGGCCCAACCUGCUUGUCAGUGCUCUGGCUCAAGAAGCUGCAGCCUGCCAUACCCACCUGCUGGCCUCUUGGCAAGGAGGAAAGUGUGACGUGUGCCUUGCUGAGCAAAGCAAAAUGACAUUGCUGCCUAUCCCAGCCAGUUGUCAGCAUGUCCAGUGCUAAUUGUGUCAUUGCUGCACUACUGCCGUUUCUGCAAAGAUAAGGAAGAAACACUUUUCUUGCAGUAGAGGCAAUGUAAGCAGUGUCUGAGGUUGAUAAGCGACAUGGCAUGGCCUAGGAGGAACCAAUAAAUGAAGAAAAAAAAGCAGAAACUUUGUGUCCUUUGAACUAUCCACUUUUGGUAUCGGAGAUGUUGCUGAGCUUUUGUUCUGUGCAAGAAGCCUUCCUCUUUCAUCAGUCUUUCACUUGAGCACUUACUGGGACCUUCUUCACCUAGAUCACUCAUAAAAGGCUGAAAUCGUGCUAAUUCUCAGGAUGGGAUUGUUAAUAAGGGUAUGAAGAAGCGAUGGGAAGUCUAGCCACAAAUGAGGUCUAGGAUAUUUUCAGUUCUCUGAAGAGCCUCCAUCCAUUUAAACCUCGAGUAAUGUUUCUCUUAUAAAGCACAAGUGUGAAGCAGCGUGAGCCAAACAUUUUCUCUUAUUUGUCUUCCACAAUAUUCUUGGUGGCAAAAACUAUUGCUCAUUUAACAAAAAAAUCCUAAGUGUUAUACCAGUAAUAAAGAAAACAGUUUGCAUUUCAGAUGAAGAGGCAAUAACGUAUCACAAAAUAUUUACUCUACCCAGAAGAGCAGCAAUUUACAGACAAUUUAACAGCAAUUUGACUCUUUUUGUGUAUAUAUUUAAAGCUUGCAGCGAUGUUUUCACACUCAGGUUUUCAUUUGUGCAUUAAGUAAUUUUCUUUAAGGCUUAGAAUUUGAUCGGGUAAUAUCUUGAAUUUAAAUUCUCCCAAAGCUAAUAGCGGUCUAGAUCUGAGGUUUUU
rnacentral:lncRNA from 1 species